AGCAGCCGCGGUAAUUCCAGCUCCAAUAGCGUAUAUUAAAGUUGUUGCAGUUAAAAGCUCGUAGUUGAAUUUCGGGGUUAGCAGGUCGGUCGUGCCAUUGGUAUGAACUGGUCUCGCUGAUCCCUCCCUCUUGACGAACUGUGAUGCCAUUAAUUUGGUGUCGCAGGGAAUCAGGACUGUUACUUUGAAAAAUUAGAGUGUUUAAAGCAGGCUCACGCUUGAAUACAUUAGCAUGGAAUAAUGAAAUAGGACGUUUGAUCCUAUUUUGUUGGCUUCUAGGAUUGACGUAAUGAUUAAUAGGGAUAGUUGGGGGCAUUAGUAUUCAAUUGUCAGAGGUGAAAUUCUUGGAUUUAUUGAAGACUAACUACUGCGAAAGCAUUUGCCAAGGAUGUUUUCAUUAAUCAAGAACGAAAGUUAGGGAUCGAAGACGAUCAGAUACCGUCGUAGUCUUAACCAUAAACUAUGCCGACUAGGGAUCGGAUGAUGUUAAUUUUUAAUGUACU
rnacentral:misc_RNA from 1 species